CGGGACGGGUGAGUAACGCGUGGGUAACCUGCCUCACACAGGGGGAUAACAGUUAGAAAUGACUGCUAAUACCGCAUAACCCGAUAGGAUCGCAUGAUCCAGACGGAAAAGAUUUAUCGGUGUGAGAUGGACCCGCGUCUGAUUAGCUAGUUGGUGAGGUAACGGCCCACCAAGGCAACGAUCAGUAGCCGGCCUGAGAGGGUGAACGGCCACAUUGGGACUGAGACACGGCCCAA
rnacentral:rRNA from 1 species